rfam:Polaribacter sp. SA4-12 genome.
AAUAAGUCGUGUUAGGGAUUGAAACGGCAUCCUUUUUAUUUGAAAUUCACAAAACAUUUAGUCUGAAAAUGAUUUUAUCAAUGAAAAAUGAUGCGGAAAGCAAUUCAACUUAAAAAGAUAUAGUGCAAAGCCCGACCUUUU